GCCGGCGUAGCUCAAUUGGUAGAGCAACUGAUUUGUAAUCAGUAGGUUGCGGGUUCGAGUCCCACCGCCGGCUCCA
rnacentral:tRNA from 1 species